CCUAUUCUGGAAAUGUGAGGGUUUAUGACAGCCCCCUCCAUCAGACUACUGUAGGUAAAUGGAGCCCUAUUCUGGAAAUGUGAGGGUUUAUGACAGCCCCCCUCCAUCAGACUACUGUAGGUAAAUGGAGCCCUACUCUGGAAAUGUGAGGGUUUAUGACAGCCCCCUCCAUCAGACUACUGUAGGUAAAUGGAGCCCUACUCUGGAAAUGUGAGGGUUUAUGACAUAGCCCCCCCCCCAUCAGACUACUGUAGGUAAAUGGAGCCCUAUUCUCUAUAUAGUGCACUAAGAUUGACCAGACCCCAGUCCAAUGUACUGCACUAAGAAGACAAUAGGGUGCCAUUUGGGAAGCAGAGAUGAUAUAGCUGUGUAAUAUCACAGAAGUUGGACUCUCGUGUUGACUACUGUAGGGGAAGGCUGUUAUUCUCUGCUCCAACUCUUCAUCAUCAGUUGGUUCAUAUUUGUAAGUGUUCACCAUUUUUGGUUUGUUUUUAUGACUUGAACAAAGAGAGGAAUGUGAACAGAGGCCAUAUGUAUCAAACAUCUGAGUAGGAGUGCUGAUCUAGGAUCAGGUCCCAAUGUAAUCGGACUCGUUAUGCUCUAAAAUACUCCAACUGAUCAGCACUCUACUGUCAGAGUAGAGAUGUUUGGUACAUAUGGCACCAGGAUUUUAAUGCAAAGCUGCUUUGGCAUCAUGGAAGGACGUACGUUUGUGAUUGUUGUGUUUGACCUCCUGGGUCAGAGAAUUGUCUUUGCGCUCCACCAGCUCCAUAUAAACCGUUGACAUCCGCUGUUUUGGAGAUGCUGUACAUUUACUGUAAUGUUUUGUGAAAUCAUCGUCAUGACCUUUGUGUGAUUUAUUAUGUGACGUCCCAAAUGGCACCCUAUUCCCUCUAUAGUGCACUACCUUUGACCAGAGUCCUAUGGGCCCUGGUUCAAAAGUAGUGCACUAUAAAGGGAUUUUGAUGCCAUUUAGGAUGCAGCCUUCCUCUCCCUUCACAUCUGGGCUGCUGUGUUUUUCCAGUAAAUGACGAGGCCAGUCGUUCGUAGUUGGAGCUCGGUCUGUCUGUGCAGGCAGGUAGCUUUGUUUUCCUACCAUGUGGAUGUUCUCUCCUUCAUGGCAUUUUGCAUGGCUAAGUGUGGAAAUGGAGUGUCUCAGGAGGGCCUGGGGGAGGCUACAGAUUUACUACAGUAGUAGUGACAACAUGGUCUUUGUGUCAGUGUCGCACCACGUCAGUAAGCCAGUAUUCACACCAUGUCUUUUUUCAGUGUUGCUGUGAACAUUUUUAAUUCAAUGCCCUUGUGCCUGUAUGUAUGUAUGUAUGUAUGUAUGUAGUUUUGUUCUUUUUAACACUUUUUUGCAGUUUGUAUUCAGCCUUCUACAUUUCUCCUUGAGUCUUUAUUCCAGUGUUCUAUUGAUGAUUAUAAACUGGGUGGUUUGAGCUCUGAAAGCUGAUUGGCUGACAGCCGUGGUAUAUCAGACCGUGUACCAUGGGUAUGACAAAACAUUUAUUUUCACUGCUCUAAUUAUGUUGCUAACCAGUUUAUAAUAGCAAUAAGGCACCUCUGGGUUUGUGGUAUAUGGCCAAUAUAUACCACUGCUAAGGGCUGUAUCUAGGCACUUUGUGUCAUGCAUAAGAACAGCCCAUAGCCGUGGUAUAUUGGCCUUAUACCACACCCCCUCAGGCCUUAUUGCUGAAGUAAAGGUUUGUCAGUCACUGGGCCUGGGUAAUACUCUGAGAAUGCAUCCUUCCUCCCCCUUGGAGUAAACGCUGUUCUGACAUAACUGUGUCUUUCUAAGAUAACUUUUUUUGUAUACAAAAUUGUGUAUAAUUCCUGAGAAAUGUGGUUUGACGAAUGGAGUUUAGCGAUGGCACUCUGAGCUAUUAUCACCCAGUUGUCAGAUAAAUGAAUAUUUUGAGGGAGGGUAGAAGGGAGGAUAGAAGGGUGCAUUUUAUUAGUAUUCAACCAUAGCCAUCAUCUCAACACAAAUAUUUAUCAUGUCAAAAUCAGACACUGACACUCAUCCCCAGGUAGCAUGGACCAGACUCCCUGGCUGUAUAGAAUAUGGCGUAUUGUUUCAUCCCCAGGUAGCAUGGACCAGACUCCCUGGCUGUAUAGAAUAUGGCGUAUUGUUUCAUCCCCAGGUAGCAUGGACCAGACUCCCUGGCUGUAUAGAAUAUGGCGUAUUGUUUCAUCCCCAGGUAGCAUGGACCAGACUCCCUGGCUGUAUAGAAUAUGGCGUAUUGUUUCAUCCCCAGGUAGCAUGGACCAGACUCCCUGGCUGUAUAGAAUAUGGCGUAUUGUUUCAUCCCCAGGUAGCAUGGACCAGACUCCCUGGCUGUAUAGAAUAUGGCGUAUUGUUUCAUCCCCAGGUAGCAUGGACCAGACUCCCUGGCUGUAUAGAAUAUGGCGUAUUGUUUCUGGAAUGAAGAUGCCAUUUUGCCAAAAACAAUCCCUCUCGAAAAGGAGACUUGUGUGUUUUUGUUUGUUUUUUCACUCUGAAUUAAUAAAACUUUAUUAAAAAUGUU